rnacentral:rRNA from 1 species
GACGAACGCUGGCGGCGUGCUUAACACAUGCAAGUCGAACGGAAAGGCCCUGCUUGCAGGGUACUCGAGUGGCGAACGGGUGAGUAACACGUGGGUGAUCUGCCCUGCACUUCGGGAUAAGCCUGGGAAACUGGGUCUAAUACCGGAUAGGAGCCAUUUUUAGUGUGAUGGUUGGAAAGUUUUUUCGGUGUAGGAUGAGCUCGCGGCCUAUCAGCUUGUUGGUGGGGUAAUGGCCUACCAAGGCGGCGACGGGUAGCCGGCCUGAGAGGGUGGACGGCCACAUUGGGACUGAGAGACGGCCCAGACGCCUACGGGAGGCAGCAGUGGGGAAUAUUGCACAAUGGGCGCAAGCCUGAUGCAGCGACGCCGCGUAGGGGAUGACGGCCUUCGGGUUGUAAACUCCUUUCGCUAGGGACGAAGCUUUUUGUGACGGUACCUAGAUAAGAAGCACCGGCUAACUACGUG